UACGAAGGGGGCUAGCGUUGUUCGGAAUUACUGGGCGUAAAGGGCGCGUAGGCGGUUGUGUCAAGUCAGGCGUGAAAGCCCCGGGCUCAACCUGGGAACCGCGCUUGAGACUGGCACGCUAGAGUUCGGGAGAGGAUGGUGGAAUUCCCAGUGUAGAGGUGAAAUUCGUAGAUAUUGGGAAGAACACCGAUGGCGAAGGCAGCCAUCUGGACCGACACUGACG
rnacentral:rRNA from 1 species